rnacentral:rRNA from 1 species
AUUGAACGCUGGCGGCGUGCCUAACACAUGCAAGUCGAGCGGCAGCGCGGGAGCAAUCCUGGCGGCGAGCGGCGGACGGGUGAGUAAUGCUUGGGAAUCUGCCUGUUAGUGGGGGACAACCCGGGGAAACUCGGGCUAAUACCGCAUACGCACUACGGUGGAAAGCCGGGGACCGCAAGGCCUGGCGCUAACAGAUGAGCCCAAGUCGGAUUAGCUAGUUGGUAGGUAACGGCCUACCAAGGCGACGAUCCGUAACUGGUCUGAGAGGACGACCAGUCACACCGGAACUGAGACACGGUCCGGACUCCUACGGGAGGCAGCAGUGGGGAAUAUUGGACAAUGGGGAAACCCUGAAUCCAGCGACGCCGCGUGGGUGAAGAAGGCCUGCGGGUUGUAAAGCCCUUUCAGU